CCGUUGAGCGUUUACAGUUGUCCAUAAAGUAACGAGUUUCAUGAAAGUUUCGUGUAUAGCAAUGAUAAAACUAAUUCAAUUACUAUUUAUUUAUUUUAUUCAACAUACUAUUUGUGCCGGAAUAGAAAUAAGAAUUGAAGCGGAUGACGCUAUAAAAAUUUUGAACACUUUUGUAAUGUCUCCUAUAUUUAAAAGCAUUACAAACGACUUCAGAAAGUCUGUUUCUGAUUAUAAUAAUCCAUAUCACCCCGAGGAUGACAUAUUAUCUAACAAUGGAGUGAUGCCUAGUACACACGCACCAACCGAAUCGCCAGAAGAUGCUAAGCUAGAAACUGAUAACAAAAGGUAUAGCGGCAAAGUCAGCGAAGAUGAGUUGGCUGAUACUUUGGACGAGCCCAGUAUAAAUAAUGCUACAAUCCCAGAUAAUGAGUUUCCUCAGAAUGACACUAGAAUUUUAGAGGUUGUUGAUAAGAACAAUGCCAUACCGAAAAUGAAUGAAGGGGAUAUUCAAGAUUAUCAGCCCUUGAAAAGAAGAUAUUCAGUUUUAAAAGGUGAAUAAAA